rnacentral:rRNA from 1 species
CAGUCGCCGCGGGAAUACGUAGGGUGCAAGCGUUAAUCGGAAUUACUGGGCGUAAAGCGUGCGCAGGCGGUGUUGUAAGACUGAUGUGAAAUCCCCGGGCUCAACCUGGGAACUGCAUUGGUGACUGCAACGCUGGAGUGCGGCAGAGGGGGAUGGAAUUCCGCGUGUAGCAGUGAAAUGCGUAGAUAUGCGGAGGAACACCGAUGGCGAAGGCAAUCCCCUGGGCCUGCACUGACGCUCAUGCACGAAAGCGUGGGGAGCAAACAGGAUUAGAUACCCGGGUGUCCCUGUCUCUUAUACA